GUGAAAAAGCUAUGACAUUUACAUUAAAAAAAAAAAAACUAUUUUAAAGGUUGGAAUAGAUACUUUUAAUAACAGAACUUUCAUUCUACUGGUCCUAGUCUACCAAGUGCCACCAUGAUCUGUUGUAAGAAUCCAUUUUCUUAAUUCUUAUCAUCACCCUUUUUCAUAAUGCCCCACUAAUAACUUUAUAUGAAAGUGAUCUCAGACACCUUGUUUUACUCUUUAAAAAGAAAUGCAGAUCAUUUCAAAAAAGUAUCGCACAUCACAAACGCAGUUAAUAUGCAUAUACAGAUUAAAAAAAUAA